UAAGGAAUAUUGGUCAAUGGACGCAAGUCUGAACCAGCCAUGCCGCGUGAAGGAUUAAGGUCCUCUGGAUUGUAAACUUCUUUUAUCUGGGACGAAAAAAGGCGAUUCUUCGUCACUUGACGGUACCAGAUGAAUAAGCACCGGCUAACUCCGUGCCAGCAGCCGCGGUAAUACGGAGGGUGCAAGCGUUAUCCGGAUUCACUGGGUUUAAAGGGUGCGUAGGCGGGCAGGUAAGUCAGUGGUGAAAUCCUAGAGCUUAACUCUAGAACUGCCAUUGAUACUAUCUGUCUUGAAUAUUGUGGAGGUAAAGCGGAAUAUGUCAUGUAGCGGUGAAAAUGCUUAGAUAUGACAUAGAACACCUAUUGCGAAGGCAGCUUACUACGCAUAUAUUGACGCUGAGGCACGAAAGCGUGGGGAUCAAACAGGAUUAGAUACCCUGGUAGUCCACGCCCUAAACGAUGAUUACUCGACAUUUGUGAUACACUAUAAGUGUCUGAGCGAAAGCAUUAAGUAAUCCACCUGGGAAGUACGACCGCAAGGUUGAAACUCAAAGGAAUUGACGGGGUCAUAGCUGUUUCCUG
rnacentral:rRNA from 1 species